rnacentral:rRNA from 1 species
AUUGAACGCUGGCGGCAUGCCUUACACAUGCAAGUCGAACGGUAACAGGUCUUUGGAUGCUGACGAGUGGCGAACGGGUGAGUAAUACAUCGGAACGUGCCCGAUCGUGGGGGAUAACGAAGCGAAAGCUUUGCUAAUACCGCAUACGAUCUACGGAUGAAAGCAGGGGACCGCAAGGCCUUGCGCGAACGGAGCGGCCGAUGGCAGAUUAGGUAGUUGGUGGGAUAAAAGCUUACCAAGCCGACGAUCUGUAGCUGGUCUGAGAGGACGACCAGCCACACUGGGACUGAGACACGGCCCAGACUCCUACGGGAGGCAGCAGUGGGGAAUUUUGGACAAUGGGCGAAAGCCUGAUCCAGCCAUGCCGCGUGCAGGAUGAAGGCCUC